CAUAAAACAAAGAAAAGAAGUAGUACAGGCGGAGCGGUUGUUAGAGAAGUGACGGUUGGUGCAAGUCAUUGAACUUUACGUUUGGAACGUGUCUUGGAGUUGCAUAGUCGAUGGAUACGGAGGCUAUGAUCGUGAAUUCGCGUUAAGAAUGAGAUGUCAUCCAUAUCGAGUGGAUGGAAGUUUGGUGGUACCGCGUAAUGUUUACGUCCUUUCG
rnacentral:ncRNA from 1 species